AUUUAUAUAAUAUAAAAUAUUAUAUUUGACUUCCAAUCAAAAUAUCUAAAUAAACUUAGUGUAAAUA
rnacentral:tRNA from 1 species